AUCCACAAAGACACUUAGGAUUCUGCCUGGAACAGCUCAAUAAUGAGCUCAAUAACAUUUUAUUUUAUUUUAAAUUUUAUUUUAAGAGAUAGAGUCUUGCUGUCACCCAGGCUAGAGUGCAGUGGUGAGUCAUGGCUCACUGCAGCUUUGAACUUCUGGGCUCAAGAGAUCCUCUUACCCUGGCCUCCUAAAGUGCUGGGAUUACAGCUGUGAGCCACCACAACUGGCCUUCAAAAUUAAUAAAGGCUUAAGAAUUGCUUUGUUGUGCUGUGCUUGCUUCAGCAUCACAUAUAAAUAAAAAUUGGAAUGAGACAGAGAAAAUUAGCACGGCCUCUGUGCAAAGAUGACACAUAAAUUCAUAAAGUGUUCAUAUUAAAAAAAGAAAAAUAAAUGUUUUGCCAAAGCUGAAAUGUAAUUUGCAUAUAAACCCAGGUACACAUACCUGUAAGUGUAUGGCUUGGUGCGUUUUCACAAAGUACAUUUGUCCGUACCCAGAGUAAGAAACCCUAGAAUAGCUGCUCUCAAACUUCUUGGUCUCAGGAUCCCUGCACACCUUUAAAACUGAUGAAUGGAUGAAUAAAAUGUGAUAGAGUGAGACACUGUCUCAAAAACACAACAAAAAUACAGAGAUAUUUUUAAAACACAAGAGUACACACGUACACAUUCCAUCAGCUGUCAGUCUGAUGGUGUCCUCACAUGUCCUGGAGCCUCUGGAGAACUCCAGUGAAUGUUCUUAGACGCAUGAGAGCAGAAAGGGGAAAAUAACAUCUUAAUGUUACGAUAAAAAUAGUUUGAUCUCUCAGACCCCUCUGAAUGGUCUCAGGGACCCUCAGGGGUCCCUGGCCCACAUUUCGAGAAUCGUUGCCCUUCUCAUGUCCCCACCUGGUCACUCCCCUCACCAAGGGUGACCUCUGUCUUGGCUCCUGGACCCUGGAUUUGUUUGGCCUUGUUUUGCUCUUUAUAUCAGUGUAACUGGGUGAUGAUUUCAUGCACCCGGCUGCUUUCACUCAGCAUUACAUUUUUGAGACCCACCUGGGCUGUUGUGUGUAGUGAUAGCUCAUCUAUUCAAUACUGUAGUAGUUACUCUUUG
rnacentral:lncRNA from 10 species